CCUACGGGAGGCAGCAGUGAGGAAUAUUGGUCAAUGGACGAGAGUCUGAACCAGCCAAGUAGCGUGAAGGAUGACUGCCCUAUGGGUUGUAAACUUCUUUUAUAUGGGAAUAAAAUGUUCCACGUGUGGCUUUUUGCAUGUACCAUAUGAAUAAGGAUCGGCUAACUCCGUGCCAGCAGCCGCGGUAAUACGGAGGAUCCGAGCGUUAUCCGGAUUUAUUGGGUUUAAAGGGAGCGUAGGUGGAUUGUUAAGUCAGUUGUGAAAGUUUGCGGCUCAACCGUAAAAUUGCAGUUGAAACUGGCAGUCUUGAGUACAGUAGAGGUAGGCGGAAUUCGUGGUGUAGCGGUGAAAUGCUUAGAUAUCACGAAGAACUCCGAUUGCGAAGGCAGCUUACUGUACUGUAACUGACACUGAGGCUCGAAAGUGUGGGUAUCGAACAGGAUUAGAUACCCUGGUAGUC
rnacentral:rRNA from 1 species